GGGGCUGAAGAGGGUCGCAGAGGCGAGCUCCGAGGGGCGGGCUGGAAGCACCGGCUGCCUCUACUCGAGAAGGAGAGGUGCACAUUUCGGGAGGCGAGCGUGCAAAGGGGCGCGGAGCCGCAACGGACCUGGGAGUCCCCACUGCAUUCCCGGGAGCUCCCAAGGACCCACCGGUGGAGGGGCGCCUGGGAGCCCUUGGGAGACACCGAGAGGCGGGAAAGGGUCCCUGCGCAGCAAAUGAGAGAGGAACCACAACGUGCUGGAGUAGAGGAGGUAGAGGCGAGCACGCACAUUGCUGGUCCUGCUGGUGCUGCUGGUCUGUGAAAUGCACUGAAUAACACUGCUCCAAACUACACAGCCUAGUAAGGUGACCAAAGUUGGGAAGAGUAGAAUUCAGGCAAACAAGAAAGAAGGUUCCAAAUAUCAGGACAAAUCAAACCGAAGUUCCUCACUGUCAAUCUCUGUAACCACAGAACAGUCUUCUACCUGAAGAAUCUACUUUGUGGAUGGAUUCCCUCAGCUUUUGCUGAA